AGGAUAAACGCUGGCGGCGUGCCUAACACAUGCAAGUCGAACGUCCUACACGCAAGUGUAGGGAGUGGCGGACGGGUGAGUAACACGUGGGCAAUCUACCUUUCGGUGAGGAAUACCGGCGAGAAAUCGCCGACAAGACCGCAUACGCUCGGGCAACCGAGCAAAGUCGCAAGACGCCGGAGGAGGAGCCUGCGCCCGAUUAGCUAGUUGGUGAGGUAAGAGCUUACCAAGGCGACGAUCGGUAGCUGGUCUGAGAGGAUGAUCAGCCACACUGGGAUUGAGAACGGCCCAGACUCCUACGGGGGGCAGCAGUGAGGAAUUUUCGUCAAUGGGGGCAACCCUGAACGAGCAACGCCGCGUGCAGGAUGACGCUUUUCGGAGUGUAAACUGUCUUUUCGUCGGGGAAGAGGCAAGGACGGUACCCGAGGAAUCAGCCCCGGCUAACUACGCGCCAGCAGCCGC
rnacentral:rRNA from 1 species